rnacentral:lncRNA from 1 species
AUGGCUUUACGUUCCCAGGAGCACGCUAGCUCUAUCGGCUCUGUUCAGUGGGACACUGUGGCACUGCUGGUCCUUUGGGGUUAUGACAUUCAUGUUCGCUCACAAAGCAGAAGCCUAGGCAAGAGAACUAUUUCCAGCAGUUCAGUGAAAAAAACAGUUCAUGGGCAGAUUGUCCCCAAGUCCCUCCACUUCAAGGUGAUUCUUGCUACUGUGAAACACAUAAUUGAAAACCACAGGAAAGAUGAUCACUGCAGAAAUUGUUAAAGUAAAACUGUACUCUGCACACCUUUCCUCUGCUAAAACACACCAUGCUGAGAAGCACCUGCUAGCUGAAACUCACGAAGAUCCCUGAAGCACUUUACAAAUGAGCACGUCCCAGUUGGAGGCAGUGGAAUAUGAGUCAAGAAUCACAUACGCGACAAAGCCGUAAGCUACAGACCCUGAUCUCAGUUGCAUUUUGGAGCAUCCUUCAACCACAGAUCAACCUGAACACUUUCAGAACUGUAAUAAGCAAUGAAACAUACUGCAAGGGAUCACAGCACAAGGUUGUUGUCUUACUUGCAUGCCUUUGAUCUGUUUCCAGCCUACAGUUGAAAUCAUGCCCUUGAAUAUGCACUGGAACCAGUGGAAACAACUAAUUGUGUAAAAUUAGGGAUCUCUUGUUACUCACUUUGCUGAUGCAGCUUCCAGGAAGUUUUAGGAAGUCUCUAAGCUUAAUUUGUGGGGUUGUCAGAACCCCUGCACACGAAGAAAUAUUAUCUCUGACUUCAUCUGACUUUCUGUUUCUACUCCUCAGUGAACCUCUGAUAUAAGUAUAAUCUCAAUGUCCUUCUUUAAAAUGUGUUCAAAAAGUUGAGUGGGGAAAUUGCUAUUUGUCACUUUAUAAGAGAGAAGAACAUGAUAAAUAUAUGAUAAAAAACAACCUUUAAACUAAGCGUGGCUUAUACAGUAAUGAUUGACAAUGUUAUGUAUGUAUUCUAUACACCACAUCAUGUGCUUUUAAUAUUAGGUGAGGCAGUAUCAACUGUUUCUCCAUAUCACAUACUUAUCACAUUAGGGUUUCUUUGUUGUGAACUUGUUCUGGGAAUUUUAGACUCCCUUUUAGUACACAGGAAGUUUCAUGAAAAAAGUGUAUUUUUUAUACAGAUUAGGACUUGAUUAGAUAUUGGGGGAAAAAAAAAAAAGCAUUUUUGUCAUUUUUUAAAUAUUUUGAGUAUGGACUGCAGACUGCCUCUGGUUGCUGUGUAAUAGUCUGUUAGUGUGAAAGUAAUGACCACAGUCUGUUUCUUAAAGGUAGUCUGCACUGGAAAGUGCACUUAUGUGAAUUGCAAUUUACUAGCAAUUGUAUCCUAAUUCCUCCUGCAAGUACUGCUAGUAAGGCAUUAGCAUCCCUGAAAGGUACAUUAAUAAAGCAAGAGAAUUAUAGGCA